rnacentral:rRNA from 1 species
AGUGAACGCUGGCGGCAGGCCUAACACAUGCAAGUCGAACGGCAGCACAAGAGAGCUUGCUCUCUGGGUGGCGAGUGGCGGACGGGUGAGGAAUGCAUCGGAAUCUGCCCAUUUGUGGGGGAUAACCUCGGGAAACCGGGACUAAUACCGCAUACGACCUACGGGUGAAAGCAGGGGAUCUUCGGACCUUGCGCAGAUGGAUGAGCCGAUGCCGGAUUAGCUAGUUGGAGGGGUAAAGGCCCACCAAGGCGACGAUCCGUAGCUGGUCUGAGAGGAUGAUCAGCCACACUGGGACUGAGACACGGACCAGACUCCUACGGGAGGCAGCAGUGGGGAAUAUUGGACAAUGGGCGCAAGCAUGAUCCAGCCAUGCCGCGUGUGUGAAGAAGGCCUUCGGGUUGUAAAGCACUUUUGUUGGGAAAGAAAAGCAGCCGGUUAAUACCCGGUUGUCAUGACGGUACCCAAAGAAUAAGCACCGGCUAACUUCGUG